rnacentral:lncRNA from 1 species
AGCCUUUCAUUUAACAAAAUACUAACAAAAGACUAUUAAGGAUUUUGUGAGUAAUACAUUUUGUUUAGCUUUUGUUUCAGAUACUGCCUUUUAUUAAUGUUUCAUUACACUUAUAAUUUGAAAUUUACCUUUUAUUAGCAUUGGAUUGGACUUAUAUUCUUAAAUGUUGCCAUUUGUUUGUAUUUCAUUCCACUUAGAAUCAACACUUACAUAUUUUGUUUGUAUUUCAUUACACUUGCUUUCAAAAACAAGAAAUUUUGUUCAUAUUUCAAUACAUUUGUAGGUUUGGAUGACUUGUUUCACAAAAUCUAGCAUAAACAAAUUAGUUUCAUAUUUCAAUGAUAUUGGCUAAAUACUGCUGCUGCUGUUUUGAAUUUAGAGCUACAUCUACCAUUCACUAUGUUCUUCAUAUACAUAAUUACACUUCUGACGAUUGCAACGGUUUGUCAGUAAGUAAAUGGCUACUGAGCACUUGCAAAUGCAUAAUAUUCUUUAUCAUACAUAAUCAGCUUUAAGAGAGACUAUCUAUAAACAGAGACCACUUAAAAUAAUAAUUAAAAUUCCUCCUGAAAAAACAAUUCCAAUGUUUUUCUCAUUCCAUAGAAUUCCUUAGAAUUUUUUAAGAUAAUGCAAAGUUUUUCUAGUAAGAUUUUUUUUAUUUAAAUUGCAGCAAAGAUUACAUUGAAAAUCUUAAGAUUUGUUUGGAUUAUACUAGGUAUCCAAAUUAAUUGAAAUGAAACAAGGAAUCUAACUAAUUAAAAUUUAUGUCAAUGUUUUCAUUUUGUAUAUUAAAAGGAUGUUAAUUAGAAUUCUAUCAUUUUAUUUAUAAUUAAUAUAACAAGAUAUAUCAUUGAAAAUAGGUCCUAUUUAUAAAUUAUAUAAGCUAUUUAUUUUUUGGUUAUUGAACACCUCAAACAACAGCACAAGAUAAUAGGCAUUAAAAGUCAUUUCAUAAGUACAACAAAUUGUAAAUGAUAUUAUGCUUUUGAUAUAAUGUUACAUCCUCAUAAAUGAAUUAGUCUAUUCUUUUGAUGAUUGGCAAUGAUUAAUUAUCCUGCUUUUACAGCCACUUGAUAUACUGCUGUUCAAUGUAUACACAUGUGUUAACACACAGAGAUACAGCUUAUCUGAUCAAGAUAAGGACCAAUGAAAAUACAGGCUUCUGAACCGUUUUACACCUGUACACCAAAAAAUAAUCCCCAUCUUUCUGCUUGUUUUUUUUCUCUCUGAGAUCUUUGCAAAUGCUGUGAGCAAAUAAAUGGUCAAAUUUUCCCAUGAACUGUAUACUUAUAUAUUUUAAGAACAUAGAUAUUCCCUUCAGUAACUAUAUAUUGUACCAAAGAAAAUGGCUCAUGAAUACAAAAAUUUGAAUGUAAACAGGAAGUUCGUUGUUCAUGUUGUUGGAGGCAAAUGGAAUAAAGCUAACUUGAAACUCUAAAAUGCUUUUAGAGAGAUAUCAGAUGAAAGAGUGUGCAUAUAUCUAGUUAUUAGAGGUAUAUGCCUAUAUGUAUGAAUUGA